CCCUUAGAUGUUCUGGGCCGCACGCGCGCUACACUGAUGACUUCAACGAGUUUUUUCUAUUUGGAAAUGUCCUUAACCGGAAGGUUUGGGUAAUCUUUUAAAUGGUCAUCGUGAUGGGGCUAGAUUCUUGCAAUUAUUAAUCUCCAACGAGGAAUUCCUAGUAAACGCAAGUCAUCAACUUGCAUUGAUUACGUCCCUGCCCUUUGUACACACCGCCCGUCGCACCUACCGAUUGAACGGUUUAGUGAGGGCCUCGGAUUGGUCUCGGCCCGCUCUUUACCGGGCGGCGCCGUUGGUCGAGAAGACGCUCGAACUUGAUCGUUUAGAGGAAGUAAAAGUCGUAACA
rnacentral:rRNA from 1 species